rnacentral:misc_RNA from 1 species
AAAAAGAUGGCUUUGCAUGUAUGUUUUAUGAUCCAUAUUUCCUAUUAUUUUCUUCUUUGUUAUGGAAAAUUUUGUGACAGUAAUAUGAUAGUCAACUUAUUGGUCUAGUCACCGAGAUAGUUGAAUUAUAAAUUGCAUAAUCUUGCAUGAGAAUUUAUGAUGUUUAGCCAAUAAUGAGGUUUAGAAAGUGAACCAUAUCUGCUUCCUAAGUGAAGUUUCACUGGGAAAAGUACAGUACAUAUGACAUUUGUUCGGUGAUGUUUUUAUUUUGAUUCAAGGAAUCA